rnacentral:pre_miRNA from 1 species
AUCAACUUUUUUUGCAGAAAUUUAUUUUUCUGGGUGGUGUACCCAGAAAAAUAAAUUUCUGCAAAAAAAGUUGA